rnacentral:rRNA from 1 species
ACCCUGGUAGUCCACGCCGUAAACGGUGGAUGCUGGAUGUGGGGCACGUUCCACGUGUUCCGUGUCGGAGCCAACGCGUUAAGCAUCCCGCCUGGGGAGUACGGCCGCAAGGCUAAAACUCAAAGAAAUUGACGGGGGCCCGCACAAGCGGCGGAGCAUGCGGAUUAAUUCGAUGCAACGCGAAGAACCUUACCUGGGCUUGACAUGUUCCCGGCGACGGCAGAGAUGUCGUUUCCCUUCGGGGCGGGUUCACAGGUGGUGCAUGGUCGUCGUCAGCUCGUGUCGUGAGAUGUUGGGUUAAGUCCCGCAACGAGCGCAACCCUCGCCUUGUGUUGCCAGCGGUUCGGCCGGGAACUCACAAGGGACCGCCGGGGUCAACUCGGAGGAAGGUGGGGAUGACGUCAGAUCAUCAUGCCCCUUACGUCCAGGGCUUCACGCAUGCUACAAUGGCCGGUACAACGGGAUGCGACACUGUGAGGUGGAGCGGAUCCCUGAAAACCGGUCUCAGUUCGGAUCGGAGCCUGCAACCCGGCUCCGUGAAGGCGGAGUCGCUAGUAAUCGCGGAUCAGCAACGCCGCGGUGAAUGCGUUCCCGGGCCUUGUACACACCGCCCGUCAAGUCAUGAAAGUGGGUAGCACCCGAAGCCGGUGGCCUAACCUUUUCGGAGGGGGGAGCCGUCUAAGGUGAGACUCGUGAUUGGGACUAAGUCGUAACAAGGUAGCCGUACCGGAAGGUGCGGCUG